AUGCAUGCUGGCAUUCACGAUAGUCAUCGGUGCUGUUCUCCAAACAUUCUCAGUUCAUUUUUUAUGAAUGCACUCUCUCUGUUCUAUCCCAGCUACUUAAAUUUUUGCACGGCCGCAUUACUUUUCUUUUGCCAUUGGAGGCGAGAAGAAAUAGCAUAUGACUUUUUCAGGAGAAAUCUCCAAGAGUUCUAUUCAGCAUGCUUUUGUCUUUUCUAUAGCAAUGGGGAUGUUACUGAUGGUACUUCCUUCAGCCUGGAUUCCUGUGUUAGGACGACACAGCACAGAACUACCUCUCACCUGACCCAUGAUGAGAUAAAAAUAAAUGAGGAAGAAGAGUUUUGAGCCACUGAAAUUUGGAGGUUUGUCACCAUGGUUUAACCUAGCCCUCACUGACAUGCAGGGCUGAAGAAUGAGUCAGAACUGGGUCUGGACAUGUAAAGGGCACUCCUUAGGAUAAGUAAAAUUCAAGUCUUGUUGCAAAGAUAACAGUGAGCACGAUGUGUUAGUAGGGUGAGUGUGGGAUAAAUAAGGUUUCUCAAGUGAGAAUAAUGAGGACCUCGACUUUAAAAGACAGUGCUAACUUGGACUGUGGAGAGAUUCCAAUGUCCUACUUAGCACUUGAGAUUGUGAUGGCUGAACAGACUCAUUAAGAACCCUAAAUGAAGGCUUGCGAUAAAUAUCUGAGGGCGUCUAAUAUCCCAAUUUUUCAUCCUAGAAUGGGCAGAGUCCUUAACCCCAUUCUAGGGAGACUUCCAAAGGAAAAAAGACCUGCAUUUCCCCAACAACCCACACUGAGAGACUCUCCUGCACUUCUGACCUGUGGCUAACACUCCUCACCUUUCAUUCUGUCCUCAGUGUUUUGGGGAAACAUCUUUAACUCUCUAUAACUUACACAGGUUACUAAGUGGCCCUUAUCAUUCCCUCCAGAGAUAGAAGAGACUAAUGAUGAGGGAGCCUGAGCUCACAGCAGCAAGCGGGCACGUGUGCUCAGCAGCCAUGUGGCUCAUCUGCUAGAUCACUACAUACGACGUUCUGCAACACUGCUUGACACAAGGGGACACUCUCCUGACUCAGAAGGUUUAAUUGCUUGUCUUUUUAUAGUUGAAAGUUGGGGAUGCCAGUGAUUUUCCACACAGCCAGCAGCUAAAAUAAUCGAAAUGUGAUUUUCACCGUGUUUUGGGAUUUACUCGAGGGUGGCUGGCAAAAUAUGAGGGAAAUAUUAGGGAAGGUUGGAAGAUUAUAGUCUCUAACCCAAAAAUAUAUAAAAUUAGCCCUACAAAUUUGAAGAAGUCCAGUUUCUUUGUGAAAUAACAGUAUAAAACAUGUUAUUUUUCACCAAAAUUUGAAAUAAGUUGGGAACCUCUGCAGCUCAGCCACUGGCUGAUGCACUGUCGCAAAGCUGCACUCCAACUUUCUCACUUCUGAGUCCUACUUUCUUUUUUUUUUUUUUUUUUUUUGAGAUGGAGUUUCACUCUUGUCACCCAGGCUGGAGUGCAAUGGCGCUAUCUCGACCUCCGCCUCCUGGGUUCAGGCAGUUCUCCUGCCUCAGCCUCCUGAGUAGCUGGGAUUACAGGCACGCACCACCGUGCCCAGAUAAUUUUUUGUAUUUUUAGUAGAGACCAUGUAUUUUUAGUAGUUUCACCAUGUUGACCAGGAUGGUCUCGAUCUCUUGACCUCGUGAUCCACCCGCCUCGGCCUCCCAAAGUGCUGGGAUUACAGGCUUGCACCACCAUGCCCAGAUAAUUUUUUGUAUUUUUAGUAGAGACCAUGUAUUUUUAGUAGUUUCACCAUGUUGACCAGGAUGGUCUCGAUCUCUCGACCUCGUGAUCCACCCGCCUCGGCCUCCCAAAGUGCUGGGAUUACAGGCCUGAGCCACCGCGCCGGCCGUUUCUGCGUCCUACUUUCUUCCCAGGUACUCCUGCUGAGUUUGAGCCUCAAUAAGGAACUCAAGUAAGUGCCACUGAAAACACCGCAGUAUCUUUGCCUGCCUAGUUUGCAAGAUUAAAAAGACUGAUAAAGUCGACUGUUGGUGAAAGCUGCAGGCACUCUCUUGCUAACCCUAAACCCUGACUGACCCUGACUGACCCUGACCUCAUGCCACUCCUCCCACAACCCCUCAGGUAUGUCCCAUUUCUGCUAAAUUUCAUCCUCCAAACUUCUAAGCCUUAACACUCUAAAUACAAAACCAACAUAUAGGCAAUCCCAACCCCAAGUUAAUACUAAAUUAUACAAGGAAAUGAAAUCACAACAGAAAGGCAUAAAUCAAUGUCUAGCAUAAUUAUACAAUAAUGCUCAACAAAAGAAUCAUAAUUUGAUACUAAGACGUAUUUGAAGUAUUACAGACCACGAUCACUACAUCUUUUUCUCAGAAAAUCAAGCUGGUUUUGCAGACUAAAGCCAUCCCUGCAAAUAAACAUCAACUAAGCAGAAUGAAGAAGCUGCUC
rnacentral:lncRNA from 13 species